AACCCCCAACGUCUCAAUUAUUUUUCAGUCUUGUUCUUUCAUUCUCUUAAUUUCUUUUGUUACACUUUACAGAAUACAAACACUCUUUCUUCUUUUUUUCUUUAUCUUCUACUAUUCAGAUAUUCAUUUCUUUCAUUUCAUUCGGGAUAUUUUGGAAUUCAGGAAUUGGAAUCAAGGGCUCGAAGUCUUCAAAUUUCUUGAUUCAACUAUUUAUCAGGUAAUAUUAUUCUAAUAUUCUAGUAUUAUUUUUAUUUGAUAUUUAUUAUUUUGUUAAUUAUAAUAUGUGCAUAUUAUUUAUUUAUUUUUAGAAUAUAAAUAUGUCAACAAGAAAAUAUGCAUCUGGUUAUUCAAAAAUCCAAAAGAAAAGAAAAGUUAAAAAUUUAAUAAAAUCUCAGAAAUGAGCUCUUGAAAUUUUUUUGACAAACAAUAAAAAAACUAAAUCGCAAAAUAUAGGAGAAUAUUCUGUAGAUGAAAAAUUUACUAACUUUGUUGAGUAAGAUGAUAACAUAAUCCAAAUUGAAGAAGAAGAGGUUUAUGAGAAAUCUGAUGAAGAUUCUCAAGAAUAUCAAGAACUAAUAAAUGAAUUAAAUAAUAAUAUUCAUAAAAAUAUAUAUGAUCCCAGUUAAUGGAUUAAUAUUGAUACAAAGUUGAGAUAUUUAUUAGUAGAAAAGGGACCAACAAGAAUUAUUGAUAUAGAUUUUCCAAAGGAUAAAUCCUUAAGACACUUUUCUACUACACAUUAUUUUCAAAAAUUAGCAAAUGGGGAAAAACAUGAAAGAAGAUUUGGUUUAUUCCAAAGAUUUGGAUAGAAUAUUUUAUUUUUGUUGCAAGCUAUUUAAUACAAAUUCUAGUGUUAGUAUUAGUAACUAGCUAGUGAAGGUAGUAGAGAUUGGAGAAAUAUUAGUACUAAGCUUAAACUCAUGAAACAACGAGCGAACAUAUUAUUAAUACGAGUUCAUGGAUUGACUUAGAAAUGAGAUUGAGCAAAAAUAAAAACAAUUGAUAAAGAUAUGCAAGACCAAAUCAAUGGAGAUAGAGAGCACUGGAGAAAUGUGAAGCAAAUCUAGCAACUUAUGAGCUUGAAAUUUUUGAAUUUUUAUUGGGCAUGACUAUCUGGUAUGAUGCUUUAUUUGCUGUUAAUUUAGUUAGCAAAAGUUUUCAAUUAAAAGAUAUGCUUAUUGAUGUUGUCAUAUAUCAACUAAGAGGUUUAAUUUCUUUUUUUGAGAAAUAUAGAGAAGAAGGAUUUACAAAUGCCAUGAUUGCAGCUAAGGAAAUUGCAUUUGAUAUGAAUAUAGAACCUGAAUUUCGUAAUAAACGUGUAAUACAUAGAAAGAAACAGUUUGAUGAGAUGUUGAUAAUGAAAUUACAAAGUCUCCUGAAGAAUCUUUUAGAGUUGAUUACUUCUUAUAUAUAGUAGAUCAAGCCAUUUUUUCACUUCAAAUAGAUUUGAACAAUUAGAAGUAUAUGAAAUUCUUAUAUAUAGUAGAUCAAGCAAUUUUUUCACUUCAAAAUAGAUUUGAACAGUUUUAAGUAUAUGAAAGUAUCUUUGGUUAAUUCCUAUUUAAUGGUAAAAAUUUUAGAUCAUUAGAUGAUGAGAAAUUGAAUAAAUAUUGUCUUAACCUUGAAUGUUCCUUAAAACACAACAAUCACUAAGAUAUUGAUGAUUUAGACUUAUUUUCUGAACUAAAAGUGUUAAGAAAAAUACUAGAAGUAGAAGAUAAUACUCCAAUCGAUAUACUCAAUCAAAUAAGAAGACUUGAUUCUUUUCCAAAUGUUUAUAUUGCUUAUAGAAUAAUGAUAACAACUCCUACAACAGUUGCUUCGGCAUAAAGAAGUUUUUCAAAAUUAAAAUUGAUAAAAUCUUAUCUAAGAUCAACAAUGUCUCUAUAGAAUAAUGUUAACAGUUCCUAUAACAGUUGCUUCAGCAGAAAGAAGUUUUUCAAAAUUAAAAUUGAUAAAAUCUCAUCUAAGAUCAACAAUGUCUCAAGAAAGAUUAAAUGGCAUGGCUAUAUUAUCAAUUGAAAAGGAAUUAUUAGAAAAAAUCGAUUAUAAUAAAGUUAUUAACAAUUUUGCAUCUCAAAAAGCUAGAAGAAUAGAUUUUAAAUAAAAAUAUGCAAUAUAAGAUUUGUAUAAAAAUUUAGGCCCCAUAUUAAACUUUCGCCUUAGGCCUCAUUUACACUUGAGCCGCCCUUGGUAACUGGAAAUUUCAGAUGUAGAGCUGAAGUUUUUGUGUUGUAACUAGGAAACUUCAGUUCUAGAACUAAAGUUUUUGUGUUGUAACGGGAAACUUUUUUUGUUGUAACGGAAAAGUACUGAAAUUUUUGUGUUGUAACUAAAAAAUUUCAGAUCUAGAAUUGAAGUUUUUGUAUUAUAACUGGAAAACUUAAGCUCUGCUUUCUUUCUUGGAUGAAGUUGGCUGGAAGAUAGAAUUUGAUUUCGUACGGAAUAGGGAUAUAACAUAACCAGCUGAACCAAAAUAAUGGCGACAAAUAUCAAGAACCAUUCUGCCAUGAAAUAUAUAUGAAGGAAAUUGGCUUGUUGAAAUUGAAGAAACUCGAAUCAAGUUCUAACUGGGAGUCAAUUAAUAACAUUAGUACAAAGAAGCUCAGAUCUAGCCUGCAGGCAAAUAUCCGUCUUCUGAGAAAGAGCUGUUAUCAAAGAUGAAAACUUCAAAAGACCGUCCAUAAGUGCCUCCAAAAAAAUAGGCAAAACAACUAUUCCUAUCAAAGUUUCAGUUUUUGAGUUCAUAGAAGAGUGCGAAAAGAAACAACUCAUCUUUAUUUACAAAGAUAAAGGUUAAUUCAUUUUACUCACUGGAUUUAUUGUAUUGCUAGGCUUAAUAUCAAAUAGGACGUCCCGCACAAUUUUUAUCCAUUUCUUCCGUUCGCUCCAGUAUUUUUCUCGCUCUCGAUUUUCAUUUUGGAAUACAUAUAAAUUUUUGUUAGAAAUUUAACUCUUUAUUUAUAAUGACUUAUAAAAUAAAUAAAAAGGCUUAUCCUCUGAUGGUAAUCCCUUAU
rnacentral:lncRNA from 1 species